rnacentral:rRNA from 1 species
UGAGGAAUAUUGGUCAAUGGGUGCAGGCCUGAACCAGCCAUCCCGCGUGAAGGACGACUGCCCUAUGGGUUGUAAACUUCUUUUGUAUAGGGAUAAACCUACCCUCGUGAGGGUAGCUGAAGGUACUAUACGAAUAAGCACCGGCUAACUCCGUGCCAGCAGCCGCGGUAAUACGGAGGGUGCAAGCGUUAUCCGGAUUUAUUGGGUUUAAAGGGUCCGUAGGCGGACUUAUAAGUCAGUGGUGAAAGCCUGUCGCUUAACGAUAGAACUGCCAUUGAUACUGUAAGUCUUGAGUAUAUUUGAGGUAGCUAGAAUAAGGAGUGUAGCGGUGAAAUGCAUAGAUAUUACUUAGAACACCAAAUGCGAAGGCAGGUUACCAAGAUAUAACUGACGCUGAGGGACGAAAGCGUGGGGAGCGAACA